AGCAGCCGCGGUAAUUCCAGCUCCAAUAGCGUAUAUUAAAGUUGUUGCAGUUAAAAAGCUCAUAGUUGAAUUUCGGGGUCAGUAGGCUGGUCGUGCCACAGGUAUGUACUGGUCUCACUGAUUCCUCCUUCCUGAUGAACCGUAAUGCCAUUAAUUUGGUGUUGCGGGGAGACUGGACUGUUACUUUGAAAAAAUUAGAGUGUUUAAAGCAGGCUAACGCUUGAAUACAUUAGCAUGGAAUAAUGAAAUAGGACGUUCGAUCUUAUUUUGUUGGUUUCUAAGAUUGACGUAAUGAUUAAUAGGGAUAGUUGGGGGCAUUAGUAUUCAAUUGUCAGAGGUGAAAUUCUUGGAUUUAUUGAAGACUAAACUACUGCGAAAGCAUUUGCCAAGGAUGUUUUCAUUAAUACAAGAACGAAAGUUAGGGGAUCGAAGACGAUCAGAUACCGUCGUAGUCUUAACCAUAAACUAUGACCGACUAGGGAUCGGAUGAUGUUAAUUUUUUAAUGUACUCAUUC
rnacentral:rRNA from 1 species